rnacentral:lncRNA from 1 species
GAGUGGUGGGUUCUGGGUAUAGUAGUCCAUGAAACAAUUUCUCCAUGGAUUCUGGGUAUUGUAGUCCUGUGGCCUCGGAAGUAGUCUUCUUAUGGUAGUCAAUAAGGAAAAUUGUGGAGGAUUCUGGGUACGCAACGGAUUCUGAGUAUGGUAGUCUAGGAGAAAAAUCUUCCUGAGGAUUCUGGAUAUCGUAGUAUUUCGGCCCAUGGAGGAUUCCGGAUAUCACAGUCCAAGGGAAAAUUACUGUCAAAGGAUUGAGCCCAGGCCUUCACACUGAAUUACAUCUACAGAAGUUUGUUUUUUUUGUUUGUUUGUUUGUUUGUUUGUUUUUUAAUGUGUGUGCCUGUGACAGAUAAUUGCUAAACUGUUAAGACUGCCUGUCUGGGCAUGAACUUGCAGUCCUCUUCCUGCAGUCUCCCAGAGUGCUAGGAUUAUAGCACUGCCUGCCUUCUAUUCUGACAUUUUAGAAGCAAUUGAAUUUAUUGUGCCCCAGUAUCUAUUGAAACUCUAUGUCUGUAUUUGUAUAACUUCAUCUUU